UACGGAGGGUGCGAGCGUUGUCCGGAAUCACUGGGCGUAAAGGGCGCGUAGGCGGCCACCGCAAGUCGACUGUGAAAUCUCCGGGCUUAACCCGGAACGGUCAGCCGAUACUGCGGGGCUAGAGUGCAGAAGGGGCAACUGGAAUUCUCGGUGUAGCGGUGAAAUGCGUAGAUAUCGAGAGGAACACCUGCGGCGAAGGCGGGUUGCUGGGCUGACACUGACGCUGAUGCGCGAAAGCUAGGGGAGCGAACGGG
rnacentral:rRNA from 1 species